CUUCACCGAGCCCAGCCAGAGCGGCUGGUCGGCGGGCCGGUUCCGACCGUACGUGGCCAGGAGUGCCUGCGCCUC
rnacentral:antisense_RNA from 1 species